GAUGAACGCUGGCGGCGUGCCUAACACAUGCAAGUCGAGCGAAGCACUUUGCUUAGAUUCUUCGGAUGAAGAGGAUUGUGACUGAGCGGCGGACGGGUGAGUAACGCGUGGGUAACCUGCCUCAUACAGGGGGAUAACAGUUAGACAUGACUGCUAAUACCGCAUAAGACCACAGCACCGCAUGGUGCGGGGGUAAAAACUCCGGUGGUAUGAGAUGGACCCGCGUCUGAUUAGCUAGUUGGUAAGGUAACGGCUUACCAAGGCGACGAUCAGUAGCCGACCUGAGAGGGUGACCGGCCACAUUGGGACUGAGACACGGCCCAAACUCCUACGGGAGGCAGCAGUGGGGAAUAUUGCACAAUGGGGGAAACCCUGAUGCAGCGACGCCGUGUGGGCGAAGAAGUAUUUCGGUAUGUAAAGCUCUAUCAGCAGGGAAGAAAAUGACGGUACCUGACUAAGAAGCACCGGCUAAAUACGUGCCAGCAGCCGCGGUAAUACGUAUGGUGCAAGCGUUAUCCGGAUUUACUGGGUGUAAAGGGAGCGUAGACGGAUGGGCAAGUCUGAUGUGAAGACCCGGGGCUCAACCCCGGGACUGCAUUGGAAACUGUUCAUCUAGAGUGCUGGAGAGGUAAGUGGAAUUCCUAGUGUAGCGGUGAAAUGCGUAGAUAUUAGGAGGAACACCAGUGGCGAAGGCGGCUUACUGGACAGUAACUGACGUUGAGGCUCGAAAGCGUGGGGAGCAAACAGG
rnacentral:rRNA from 1 species